CCUGCCAGCACCGGGUUGUCUCCUUUUAAGAGUGUCUUUUAAACUUCUAAGGAGUCCAUGUUCUUGCAUCUUUAACCCUCUCUUCACCUGAAAACGUCAAAGUUCCUUUUUUUUAAUUGAAGCAGGGCUGUUUCUGAAGAUCUGAGAGGAUUAUUCUUGUACCAGUAAGACCAGGAGUGAAGGAUAAAACAAAACGAGAGAAAAAAAACACAGAUCAGCAGCUUUGCAUCUUUCUACAGGGGAAAAGAAUUAUUUUGAGGAACGAAGCCAUAGGGACAACCCUGCUUGGACAAGCUCCCUGUCCGCAAAGCGUCAAGGUGUCCUCUCCACACCAUUACCUUGGUCGACAUUCUGCAA